GCCCCUCCCCCAGCCUCAUUACUGCCUUGCAGUUUGAUCUCAGACUGCUGUGCUAGCAAUCAGCGAGACUCCCUGGGCGUAGGACCCUCCGAGCCAGGUGUGGGAAAUAAUCUCCUGGUGCACCGUUUCCUAAGCCCGUCGGAAAAGCGCAGUAUUUGGGUGGGAGUGGCCCGAUUUUCCAGGUGCCCUCCUUUCCUUGACCAGGAAAGGGAACUCCCUGACCCCUUACGCUUCCCAAGUGAGGCAAUGCCUCGCCCUGCUUCGGCUGGCGCACGGUGCCCUGCACCCACUGUCUGGCACUCCCUAGUGAGAUGAACCCGGUACCUCAGAUGGAAAUGCAGAAAUCACCCAUCUUCUGCGUGGCUCAUGCUGGGAGCUGUAGACCAGAGCUGUUCCUAUUCAGCCAUCUUGGCUCCCGGAUCCAGUUUAACUUUUGCAGAGAGACAAGAUCUCUCUCCAUUGCCAACACUGGUCUCAAACUCCUGGCCUCAAGCAAUCAUCCAACCUCAGCCUUCUGAGUACCGGGAUUACAAGUGCGAGCCACUGUGCCCAGCUCCUGUUUCUACUUUCUUAAGGAAUCCAAGAAAACAAAUGUUAAAAUUUGCGGAAUAAGAGGAAAUGGUGUUAUAGACCAACGGAACAGAAUGUGGAACUCAUAAAUAAGUCCACACACCUACAACGAUCUGAUCUUCGACAAACCUGACAAAAACAAGCAAUAAGGAAAGGAUUCCCUAUUCAAUAAAUGGUGCUGGGAGAACUGGCUAGCCAUAUGCAGAAGAUUGAAACUGGACCCCUUCCUUAUGCCACAUACAAAAAUUAACUUAUGGUGGACUAAUGACUUAAAUGUAAAACCAAAAUCUAUAAAAACUUUGUAAGUAAGGGGUGGAGGAAGCAAGCUAGAAGGACGUUCUAUAAUCUCUUACUGCAUGCAGACAUAAAGCUUACCUUAUGAUUGGGUUCAGAUGGCAAAGGAGGGAUUACUAGAAUGAUGAAUUUUAGAAGCCCCACAGCUGGUUUACAAAAGCACCUACCUGCCAAAUCAUAUAGACCAUUUUAGGACAUGUCAAGUAGUUUAGCUUUUAUUCUGAAUGCUAUUGAAAGCCACUGAUUUUAAGCAGCAAAAGGCAAGCCAGGAUUUUAGAGAGAAAUGUCUGAUGAUAGUAAUGCAGAGUGAAAUGGAGGGGGAUGAAAUUGGAGGCAGGAAGCCAUUGCAGAAGUUAAGGUGGGAGAGGAUGACUUCUUGGCUUUAGACAUGGAAAAGAAGUGAGGGGUGGGCACGAUAACAAGUCAAAGAUGACAUCUGAAGUUCUUGUUGAGGAACUAGUUGGAAGUACCAUUUGAUGUCAUUUUGCAAAUGGGAAUAUAGAAGGAAAUGGUAUUAGUUUUUAAAAAUUGUCUUGAAAAAUUAUACAAGCUCAUUAUAAAAAUUAGAUCAAUACAGUAAGGUCAUAAAUGAAAGUUAAAUAUUAUCUCAAAUCUCAGAACUAAGAAAUAUUCCUUGUUAAUUUCUGGUACACUUAAUACCAGACAUGUUUCUAUGAAAAAAUAUACACAUAGAAAGAUAGAUAAAUUGCAGGAUUUCCUCAACUUCAGAUGAAUGGUUUUUUUUUGUGCUGUAUGGAAUAAUAGUGCCUAAAAGCACCCUCUAAAGAUAAGGGAAAAGAUUAUAGAAUAUUUCCAGAGGCAUUUUGGUUUUGUAACUAUAUAUUACAUCUCUAAUAUUAUCCUAUGAAUUUGAGUUGAGUUUUAACAUUCAGAAUUUGAGGUGCUUAUGGGACGUUCAUAUGAAAUUGUCCUUUAGUGAGGUGCAUUUGUGGUCUUGGAUUUAGAGUGAGAUCAGAGCUGUAAAUAUUGAUGCAGGCAAUGUUAUUGUACAGCUGGAAAUUCAAACCCUGAAGAAGUAACACUGGAUUCAUAUGCAGAAUCAUUGAGGCCUGAGAUAGAAGAGCCUGUAGGGGAACUUAAGCAUUUAGGGAGUCAGUGAAAUAGAUGACCCCCUCAUCCCCCAAAGUGUCUAUUUAGGUAGAAGAAAACAAAGAAAGAUUUGAUGCUUUAAAAUCCAGCAUUGAAAAAAAAAUGGAGAAAGUUGUCUGUAGUGUCAAAUGUCACAGAACAAUCAAGUAAGUUAAGGUGGAUAAUUACCCAUUAGCUGUAACAAUUUGGGAACAGCCUGAACAGCCAUUUGGUCUCAUUAUGAACAGUUUUGUAGAGCAGCAGAGACAGAAACAAAUUAUAGUGAUUGAAGAAUUAGGGGGUAAAGCCCACUCUUAAGAAACUGGGAUGUGAGUGUCAGAGAAAGCUAGGGAGAUUGUUCUAGAGAGGAAUAGAGUAGAGAAUGGCUUGUUUUCUCACAUGAGAUGUUAGUUUUAAAAGAUUAUCUUGAAAAAUUGUACAAGCUCGUUGCACAAGGCUCAAUUGUACAAGCUCAUUGUACAAGGCUCAAAUAUAUUAUACGCAGAUUGUAAAAUCUGAAACAGUGGAAGAGGCUGAAGUGUAGGAGAAAGAAGAGCUGGUCGGUGAAGCAGAGACCCUAUGUAAGUGAGAGAUGUGGGUUGCAGGACCACUUUGAGCAGGAGGCUGGAUAUCCCAUUAUCUGAGAUUAAAUGUGUGUAGGCAUGCAGAUAUACUUUCCUAUUUACAUAAGAAGACAGGCCUUUAAGAAUAUCCUUCCUAAAUAAUGUUUAGCUGUUUGUCUCUACCCAAAUCUCAUCUUGAAUUGUAAUCCCAUCAAGGGAGGGACCUGGAGGGAGGGAGGUGAUUGGAUCAUGGAGGCAGCUUUCCCCAUGCUGUUCUAAUGAUAGUGAGGGAGUUUUCAUGAGAUUUAAUGGUUUUAAAAGUGUUUGGCAGUUCCCUCCUCCAACCCCUUCUGCCACCUUGUGAAGAAGGUGCUAGCUUUCCCUGUGCCUUCUGAUUUGAAGUUUCCACAGUUCCCCAGUAAUGGGGAACUGUGAGUCAAUUAAACCUCUUUUGUUUGUAAAUUACACAGUUUCAGGUCAUUCUUUAUAGCAGUGUAAAAAUGGACUAAUACAGAGAAUUAGUACCAGGAGUGGGGCACUGUCAUAAAGAUAACCUGAAAAUGUGGAAGUGACUUUGGAAAUGGGUAACAGGCAGAGGUUGAAAUAGUUUGGAGGACUCAGAAGACAAGAAGAUGUGGGAAAAUUUGGAACUUCCUAGAGACUUGUUGAAUGGUUUUACCAAAAUGUUGAUAGUGAUAUGGACAAUGAAGUCCAGGUGGUCUCAGGUGGAGAUAAGGAACAUAUUGGAAACUGGAGCAAAGGUCACUCUUGCUAUGCUUUAGUGAAGAAACUGGUGGCAUUUUGCCCAUGCCCUAGAAACCUGCAGAACUCUGAACUCGAGAGAGGUAAUUUAGGGUAUCUGGCAGAAGAAAUUUCUAAGCAGCAAAAUAUUCAAGAUGUGACCUAGCUCAUUCUGAAGGUUUUCAGUUAUAUGCAUUCACAAAGAGAUGAUUUGAAAUUGGAACUUAUGUUUAAAAGGGAAGCAGAGCAUAAAGGUUUGGAAAACUUGUAGCUUGAUCAUGUGGUGGAAAAGAGAAACCCAUUUUCUGGGGAGAGAUUCAAACCAGCUGCAGAAAUUUUCAUAAAUAACCAAGAGCCAAACGUUAAUAGCCAAAACAAUGGGAAAAAUGUCUCCAGGGCAUGUCAGAGAUCUUCAUGGCAGCCCCUCCCAUCAAGGGCCAGAGGCCUAGGAGGGAAACACGGUUUCAUGGGCCGGGCCCAGAGCCCCACUGCUCUGUGCAGCCCUGGGACUUGGUGCCCUGCAUCCCAGCCACUCUAGCUCCAGACGUGGCUGAAAGGUGCCAAGGUACAGCUCAGGCUGUUGCUUCAGAGGGUGUAAGCCCCAACUCUUGGUGGCUUCCAUGUGGUGUUGGGUCUGCAGAUGCACAGAAGACAAAACUUUAGCUUUGGGAGCCUCUGUUUAGAUUUCAGAGGAUGUAUGAAAACACCUAGAUUUCCAGGCAGAAGUCUGUUGCAGGGGCAGAGCUCUCAUGGAGAACAUCUACUAAGGCAAUGCAGAGGGGAAAUUUAGGGUUGGAGCCUCCACACAGAGUUCCCACUGGGGCACUGCCUAUUGGAGCUGUGAGUAGAGGGCCACUUCCCUCCAGACCCCAGAAAGAUAGAUUUGCUGACAGCUUGCCGCAUGCUCCUGGAAAAUCCAUGGGUACUCAUGGCAGCCUGUGAAGGAAGCUGCAGAAGCUGGACCCUGCAGAAUCACUGGGGCAAAGCUGUCUGAGGCCUCAGGAGCCCUCCCCUUACAUCGGCAUGUCCUGGAUGUGAGACAUGGAGUCAAAGGACAUUUUGCAUCUUUAAAAUUUAAUGACUCUUCAGCCAGGUUUCGGACUUGCAUGGGACCUGUGGCCCCUUUGCUUUGGCCAAUUUCUCCCAUUUGGAUUGGAAACAUUUACCUAAUGCCUGUACCUUCAUUGUGUCUUGGAAGUAACUAACUUGCUUUUGAUUUUACAGGCUCGCAGGCAGAAGGGAUUUGCCUUGUCUCAGAUGAGACUUUGGACUUUGAUUUGUGAGUUAAUGCUGGAAUAAGUUAAAACUUAGAAGGACUGUUGGGAAGGCAUGACUGGUUUUGAAAUGUGAAAAGGACAUGAGAUUUGGGAGGCUCCAGGGUAGAAUAAUAUGGUUUGGCUCUGUAUCCCUCCCCAAAAUCACAUCUUGAAUUGUAAUCCCCACAUGUUAAGGGAGGGAACUGUUGGGAGGUGAUUGGAUCAUGGAGUCAGUUUCCCAUAUGCUGUACUUGUGAUAGUGAGGGAGUUUCAUGAGAUCUGAUAGUUUUAAAGGUGUUUAGCAGUUCCCCUUCUCUCUCUCUCUCUCUCUCCUGCUGCCUUGUGAAGAAGGUGUUGCUUCCCCUUUACUUUCCAUCAUGAUUGUAAGUUUCCUGAGGCCUCC
rnacentral:lncRNA from 1 species